CCUAAUGUCCCGCGUGGUUCUUGCUGGCGAGAUGAUAGCGUGGGACACAUGGAGGAAGGAGACUUUCGCUCUUUGCCUGCUGACUCUUGUGUUCUCUGAAGUGCGGAGAAGGUUUCCUGGGAGAGACCCUUUUGUGUGCGAUGCAAAAUGAGCUGAGAGUGGUACGCGUCACUUCUGGGUGACAUCUGCGGCUGAAGUAAAAAAAAAAAAAAAAACGCCACAGGCUACCUGCGGUGGAGGGAAAGGUUCUUCUACCGGAGGAAAUUGGGCCGCUUCUAAAGAUGGAACCCAUGCAGCUCAGUAAAACAGAGCACUAAUUCCCGUCGGAGACCGAGCUUCCACUUAUUCAUGCUCUGUUAAAGUAAUUUCUCCAGAGACUGGCAUUCGGAGAGUCUGAAACAAUCAAACACGUGCGAACGUCUCGGCGGUGCCUGCCUGCCGGUUUUUCAUCUCUGCGCCUCCAUUAGGCAUCUGUCUGUGUUGCAUUUACGAAUGCACCCAGGGUUUCAUAAAGCCUUGAGUGCAUCUAGGCCACGCAGCAACCGUCUUUGAACUACUUAGGUGUCCUUGUGACCAAACAUCAUAAUAAUUAUGCAACAGGGUGCCAUGUUAUUCACCAGGGAAAGCGUGCUCAUGUUUGAGGUAGUUUUUGAAGAAAUUGCUUGGGGGGAAAUUUUAGUAAAAGAUUCAAAAGUCCUCUCAGCGCCCAGUCAACCUCAGACUACUUUGACACCCAUCUUGGAAGCUCCAUCUUGCUUACAAUCUUCUUGAGGAAGCUGAAAAAGCUCAGUGACCGUGACUCUGCUAAAGCCGUUGUUAUCGAUGCCUCCACUUCGGGGGUUUUGUUUUAACGGUGUCCUCUGAAGGACCACUGCUCUGUUGGCAUGGUAGCCAUUUGUCCGGUCUGAACGUGAGCUGUGCACCCCAGUGGUGAUGAUGGUGGUACACUGCAGUGUUUGUCAACCUGACGGAAUCCAGAGUUACCUGGGAGAUGAGCAUCUGGGCAUGCAUCUGGAGAGUAUCUGGAUUAUGUUAAUUAGUGUAGGGAGACCCAUCUUCAUUGUCAGCAAGGCUGGCUGGAAUUGGGACUGCAAUGGAGAAAGGAAUUGGGUAGUGAUAUGUGUUUAUCUCUAUGUCUUCAUUGUGGCUUCAGUGUGACUUCAAGCUCCGACCAAGCUCCUGCUGCUUUGUUGUCCCUGCCAUAAGGGACUGGACCUUGAACUGCCAGCCAAAAGAGGCCCUUUCUCCUUUAAACCGCUUUGGACAGAGCAUUUUAUCACAGCAGCAAGAAAAACCUUAACACUACAGUUAACAAGGUGAUGUGAUUUACGAAGCAAUGGAACAGAGCCUGCAGAGGUGUCUCAGAGGCUAAGAGCACUGGCUGCUCUUCCAGAGGACUAGGGUUCUAGUCCUAGCACCCACAUGGCAGUUCACAACCAUCUGUGACGAUGUCCUCUUCCGGUCUUAGAGGGCAACAGGUCUGCAUGUUGUGCACAGAUACACCAGCCGGUAAAACCCCCAUAGACAUAAACAUGCAAAAAUGUAACACGGUGUAGCUUAGCCUCACCUUAGAGUGAACCUACAAGCAAAGGUUCACUCCAUGUCUUACUUUGCAUAUCAUUUUCUAAUAAGAUUGUGCACUUGUAUGAUACUAUGCAAAUGCUUUAACCCCUAGAGCGGAAGGCCCAGCUGUGGGAAUAGACUGCAGUAAGCGAAGUGAUGUUGGCCAAGUGCCUCUCCUCUCCUCUCUUCUCCCAUCCCAUCCCCUCCCCUCC